rnacentral:rRNA from 1 species
UGCUGUGAGCUCGAUGAGUAGGGCGGGACACGUGGUAUCCUGUCUGAAUAUGGGGGGACCAUCCUCCAAGGCUAAAUACUCCUGACUGACCGAUAGUGAACCAGUACCGUGAGGGAAAGGCGAAAAGAACCCCGGCGAGGGGAGUGAAAAAGAACCUGAAACCGUGUACGUACAAGCAGUGGGAGCACCCUUUGGGGUGUGACUGCGUACCUUUUGUAUAAUGGGUCAGCGACUUAUAUUCUGUAGCAAGGUUAACCGAAUAGGGGAGCCGGAGGGAAACCGAGUCUUAAUUGGGCGUUAAGUUGCAGGGUAUAGACCCGAAACCCGGUGAUCUAGCCAUGGGCAGGUUGAAGGUUGGGUAACACUAACUGGAGGACCGAACCGACUAAUGUUGAAAAAUUAGCGGAUGACCUGUGGCUGGGGGUGAAAGGCCAAUCAAACCGGGAGAUAGCUGGUUCUCCCCGAAAGCUAUUUAGGUAGCGCCUCGUGAAUUCAUCUCCGGGGGUAGAGCACUGUUUCGGCUAGGGGGCCAUCCCGGCUUACCAACCCGAUGCAAACUGCGAAUACCGGAGAAUGUUAUCACGGGAGACACACGGCGGGUGCUAACGUCCGUCGUGAAGAGGGAAACAACCCAGACCGCCAGCUAAGGUCCCAAAGUCAUGGUUAAGUGGGAAACGAUGUGGGAAGGCCCAGACAGCCAGGAUGUUGGCUUAGAAGCAGCCAUCAUUUAAAGAAAGCGUAAUAGCUCACUGGUCGAGUCGGCCUGCGCGGAAGAUGUAACGGGGCUAAACCAUGCACCGAAGCUGCGGCAGCGACGCUGAUGCGUUGUUGGGUAGGGGAGCGUUCUGUAAGCCUGUGAAGGUGGCCUGUGAGGGUUGCUGGAGGUAUCAGAAGUGCGAAUGCUGACAUAAGUAACGAUAAAGCGGGUGAAAAGCCCGCUCGCCGGAAGACCAAGGGUUCCUGUCCAACGUUAAUCGGGGCAGGGUGAGUCGACCCCUAAGGCGAGGCCGAAAGGCGUAGUCGAUGGGAAACGGGUUAAUAUUCCCGUACUUGGUGUUACUGCGAAGGGGGGACGGAGAAGGCUAUGUUGGCCGGGCGACGGUUGUCCCGGUUUAAGCGUGUAGGCUGGUUUUCCAGGCAAAUCCGGAAAAUCAAGGCUGAGGCGUGACGACGAGGCACUACGGUGCUGAAGCAACAAAUGCCCUGCUUCCAGGAAAAGCCUCUAAGCAUCAGGUAACAUCAAAUCGUACCCCAAACCGACACAGGUGGUCAGGUAGAGAAUACCAAGGCGCUUGAGAGAACUCGGGUGAAGGAACUAGGCAAAAUGGUGCCGUAACUUCGGGAGAAGGCACGCUGACACGUAGGUGAAGUGAUUUACUCAUGGAGCUGAAGUCAGUCGAAGAUACCAGCUGGCUGCAACUGUUUAUUAAAAACACAGCACUGUGCAAACACGAAAGUGGACGUAUACGGUGUGACGCCUGCCCGGUGCCGGAAGGUUAAUUGAUGGGGUCAGCGCAAGCGAAGCUCCUGAUCGAAGCCCCGGUAAACGGCGGCCGUAACUAUAACGGUCCUAAGGUAGCGAAAUUCCUUGUCGGGUAAGUUCCGACCUGCACGAAUGGCGUAAUGAUGGCCAGGCUGUCUCCACCCGAGACUCAGUGAAAUUGAACUCGCUGUGAAGAUGCAGUGUACCCGCGGCAAGACGGAAAGACCCCGUGAACCUUUACUAUAGCUUGACACUGAACAUUGAGCCUUGAUGUGUAGGAUAGGUGGGAGGCUUUGAAGUGUGGACGCCAGUCUGCAUGGAGCCGGCCUUGAAAUACCACCCUUUAAUGUUUGAUGUUCUAACGUGGACCCGUGAUCCGGGUUGCGGACAGUGUCUGGUGGGUAGUUUGACUGGGGCGGUCUCCUCCUAAAGAGUAACGGAGGAGCACGAAGGUUGGCUAAUCCUGGUCGGACAUCAGGAGGUUAGUGCAAUGGCAUAAGCCAGCUUGACUGCGAGCGUGACGGCGCGAGCAGGUGCGAAAGCAGGUCAUAGUGAUCCGGUGGUUCUGAAUGGAAGGGCCAUCGCUCAACGGAUAAAAGGUACUCCGGGGAUAACAGGCUGAUACCGCCCAAGAGUUCAUAUCGACGGCGGUGUUUGGCACCUCGAUGUCGGCUCAUCACAUCCUGGGGCUGAAGUAGGUCCCAAGGGUAUGGCUGUUCGCCAUUUAAAGUGGUACGCGAGCUGGGUUUAGAACGUCGUGAGACAGUUCGGUCCCUAUCUGCCGUGGGCGCUGGAGAACUGAGGGGGGCUGCUCCUAGUACGAGAGGACCGGAGUGGACGCAUCACUGGUGUUCGGGUUGUCAUGCCAAUGGCACUGCCCGGUAGCUAAAUGCGGAAGAGAUAAGUGCUGAAAGCAUCUAAGCACGAAACUUGCCCCGAGAUGAGUUCUCCCUGAGACUUUAGGUCUCCUGAAGGAACGUUGAAGACGACGACGUUGAUAGGCCGGGUGUGUAAGCGCAGCGAUGCGUUGAGCUAACCGGUACUAAUGAACCGUGAGGCUUAACCUUACAACGCCGAAG